UUGAGCAAUGAUGAGUAUACAGUCCUGUAAUGAUUUGUGGUGAUGAUCGCAAUUUUUUAUGAACAUCUAAGGGACUGUGCCCUC